AUUGAACGCUGGCGGCAUGCCUUACACAUGCAAGUCGAACGGCAGCACGGGAGCAAUCCUGGUGGCGAGUGGCGAACGGGUGAGUAAUACAUCGGAACGUGUCCGGUUGUGGGGGAUAGCCCGGCGAAAGCCGGAUUAAUACCGCAUACGACCUGCGGGUGAAAGCGGGGAUCGCAAGACCUUGCGCUAUCCGGAGCGGCCGAUGUCAGAUUAGCUAGNGGUGGGUAAAAGCCCACCAAGGCGACGAUCUGUAGCUGGUCUGAGAGGGCGACCAGCCACACUGGGACUGAGACACGGCCCCAGACUCCUACGGGAGGCAGCAGUGGGGAAUUUUGGACAAUGGGCGC
rnacentral:rRNA from 1 species